GACGAACGCUGGCGGCGUGCUUAACACAUGCAAGUCGAACGGAAAGGCCCUGCUUUUGUGGGGUGCUCGAGUAGCGAACGGGUGAGUAACACGUGAGUAACCUGCCCUUGACUUUGGGAUAACUUCAGGAAACUGGGGCUAAUACCGGAUAGGAGCUCCUGCUGCAUGGUGGGGGUUGGAAAGUUUCGGCGGUUGGGGAUGGACUCGCGGCUUAUCAGCUUGUUGGUGGGGGAGUGGCUUACCAAGGCUUUGACGGGUAGCCGGCCUGAGAGGGUGACCGGCCACAUUGGGACUGAGAUACGGCCCAGACUCCUACGGGAGGCAGCAGUGGGGAAUAUUGCACAAUGGGCGGAAGCCUGAUGCAGCAACGCCGCGUGCGGGAUGACGGCCUUCGGGUUGUAAACCGCUUUCGCCUGUGACGAAGCGUGAGUGACGGUAAUGGGUAAAGAAGCACCGGCUAACUACGUG
rnacentral:rRNA from 1 species